UUCUGAAAUUUCCCUCAGAACAGUUGUAGUACGCAAUGAAGCUGUUAUAUUCGGUAAAGCGAUGAUUGGAGGAAUUGUGGGACGAAACGCCUUCAACCUAUUCUCAAACUUUCAGUGAGUAUGACGUCUUGCUUGCUUGAAUGACACGUUGACAUUGAACGUGUGACAGAACUGGCAUGCUGUGGGAUGAAUCAAACGUUAAAUUAAAUUGCAUGAAUGAUCAGAAUUUUCCCGCUUUACGAUUAUCAGAAUUGAUUUCGCUUCAUAUCAAUCGUAAAAA
rnacentral:ncRNA from 1 species